rnacentral:rRNA from 1 species
GGGUGGGGGUGCGCAGGUGGCAGGUGCGGGGUGAAGAAGACCGUGCAGGCGAGGCGCGUGCGCAGAAGUGCCGGGCGGCCUUUUCGCGUUGCGCGUCUAGGGGAUGCGCUGCGGGGUUAGCCUCUUCUCUCCUUUUCCUCUCUCGAGACGCCGCCUCGGUACAGGCCCCGGCCCCUCAUGGUCCUCUACCGGCGCAGCCACGGCGGCCGCGAGUUCCGGUAGUGCGAGUGGGUGCAGGCUAUGGUGGCCCCGCUGUCCCAGCCGGAGAAGGAGCGCACCCAGAGGGAUUAGGGCCAGAAGUAGUCGGAGCCGCCGAAGUAGAGGGUGAAGUACAAGGCGGCGCUCGACGUCCCGUAGACGAAGCGGAACCCCGAGGAGCAGAGCGUCCAGGAGUUGCUCGAGUAGUUCGUGAGGCAGCGCGUCAGGGCGGGCCGGAGCACGCUCGACGAGCUCUGGACGCUGAGGGUGCCCACCGGCAGGUCGGUGCGCGUCAUGUGGAAGAAGAAGCGGUGCAUGGAGAGCGAGAAGCACGAGGCCGCCAGCGGCCGCUCGGCGCAGUACCGGCGGAAGAGUACCGGAGAGCGCAAGGAGUGAUACGAGAGGUCCCACAUAGAGCCGAUGGUGUGGCAGGGCGUCCAAAAGCGCCCUCGUCAUCAGCCGGAACAUAAACCACGAUAGACCAUGACCAAGCGGUUGUGGCAAGAACGAGUUAUGAAGGGUUACUAACUCCUCUCGCGUUAACCCUCCACCAAAAUAUAGUUCCUAUGAAGUGUAUAAGUUCUACACGAGUUCAAACUCAUACUAUUACGUUCCCGUCGUUCCUUCUUUCAACGAUGACUAACUCCUACUCUAUUUUAGUGGGCUGGAUGAGUGUAAUAGACGUUUCAAGUCUUUCCGUGAUCCGUAUUUAACAAGCAAAACCCUGGAUGAACACGGAUCGAGCGAAUACACGACGAAUCU